rnacentral:rRNA from 1 species
UACGAAGGGGGCUAGCGUUGCUCGGAAUUACUGGGCGUAAAGGGCGCGUAGGCGGACAUUUAAGUCAGGGGUGAAAUCCCAGAGCUCAACUCUGGAACUGCCUUUGAUACUGGGUGUCUUGAGUGUGAGAGAGGUAUGUGGAACUCCGAGUGUAGAGGUGAAAUUCGUAGAUAUUCGGAAGAAACACCAGUGGCGAAGGCGACAUACUGGCUCAUUACUGACGCUGGAGGCGCGAAAGCCGUGGGGAGCAAACAGG